AGUGAACGCUGGCGGUAGGCCUAACACAUGCAAGUCGAACGGCAGCACAGUAAGAGCUUGCUCUUACGGGUGGCGAGUGGCGGACGGGUGAGGAAUACAUCGGAAUCUACUUUUUCGUGGGGGAUAACGUAGGGAAACUUACGCUAAUACCGCAUACGACCUACGGGUGAAAGCAGGGGAUCUUCGGACCUUGCGCGAUUGAAUGAGCCGAUGUCGGAUUAGCUAGUUGGCGGGGUAAAGGCCCACCAAGGCGACGAUCCGUAGCUGGUCUGAGAGGAUGAUCAGCCACACUGGAACUGAGACGCGGUCCAGACUCCUACGGGAGGCAGCAGUGGGGAAUAUUGGACAAUGGGCGCAAGCCUGAUCCAGCCAUACCGCGUGGGUGAAGAAGGCCUUCGGUUUGUAAAGCCCUUUUGUUGGGAAAGAAAAGCAGCAGGUUAAUACCCCGCUGUUCUGACGGUACCCAAAGAAUAAGCACCGGCUAACUUCGUG
rnacentral:rRNA from 1 species